rnacentral:rRNA from 1 species
AUGGCGGACGCCGACGACCCGGCAGGCAGCGCGGCGGGCGCGGGGGGCUGGGGGAUGGACAUCGGCUGGCCCACCGACGUCCGCCACGUCGCGCACGUCACCUUCGACCGCCGCCAGGGCUUCCUCGGCCUCCCCGUCGAGUUCGAGCUCCAGAUCCCUUGCCCAGCGCCCAGCGCCAGCGUGAGCGUCUUUGGGGUGUCACCGGAGUCGAUGCAGUGUGGCUACGACAACAGGGGGAACUCGGUGCCCAAGAUCCUCCUGCUCAUGCAGGAGCGGCUCUACUCCCAGGAUGGCCUCAAGAUCGAGGAUAUUGUCUGA